AUUGACGGGCAAUUUGUACACUACUGACUCACAUCAAACAAAAAUAAUUACUAUUAAAUCCACCAUUUAGUGAUAACUACCCCUCAACCGGUUUAUAAUUCAAUAUUGUAGUUAACAUAUUUCUUCUUCACUCUGCACCUCGAUCUAAUUUAUUUGACCCAUUUUAUUAAUUUUUCUGCUUCGAAUUAAAUAAAUGACGGUGUACAUAAAUAAGAGAGAUAAGAGCUACCGGGUAGCUUCGGUUAUGUGCA
rnacentral:rRNA from 1 species